rnacentral:rRNA from 1 species
UACGAAGGGGGCUAGCGUUGUUCGGAAUCACUGGGCGUAAAGCGCUCGUAGGCGGAUCUUUAAGUCAGAGGUGAAAUCCCAAGGCUCAACCUUGGAACUGCCUUUGAUACUGGCGAUCUUGAGUCCGGGAGAGGUGAGUGGAACUCCGAGUGUAGAGGUGAAAUUCGUAGAUAUUCGGAAGAACACCAGUGGCGAAGGCGGCUCACUGGCCCGGUACUGACGCUGAGGUGCGAAAGCGUGGGGAGCAAACAGG